GAUGAACGCUAGCUACAGGCUUAACACAUGCAAGUCGAGGGGAAACGAUAGAGAAAGCUUGCUUUUUCUAGGCGUCGACCGGCGCGCGGGUGAGUAACGCGUAUCCAACCUGCCCAUCACUUGGGGAUAACCUUGCGAAAGUAAGACUAAUACCCAAUGACGUCUCUAGAAGACAUCUGAAGGAGAUUAAAGAUUUAUCGGUGAUGGAUGGGGAUGCGUCUGAUUAGCUUGUUGGCGGGGUAACGGCCCACCAAGGCGACGAUCAGUAGGGGUUAUGAGAGGAAGGUCCCCCACAUUGGAACUGAGACACGGUCCAAACUCCUACGGGAGGCAGCAGUGAGGAAUAGUGGUCAAUGGACGAGAGUCUUAACCAGCCAAGUAGCGUGCAGGAUGACGGCCCUAUGGGUUGUAAACUGCUUUUAUAAGGGAAUAAAGUGAGCCACGUGUGGCUUUUUGCAUGUACCUUAUGAAUAAGGACCGGCUAAUUCCGUGCCAGCCGCCGCGGUAA
rnacentral:rRNA from 1 species